rnacentral:lncRNA from 1 species
UCUUAAAUUUUUUAUUUUGAGACAGAGUCUCACUGAGUCACCAAGUUGCCCAGGUUGGGCACCAGCUUGUGGUCUUCCUGCCUCAGCCUCCGACAGCACUGCAGUGACAGGCGUGACCGUGCCAGGCUGAUGCUUGGUUCUUACCCCUGGGAGCUUCGGCGAAGACACUGGAGGCAGAAGUGACACCGCCCCAGGAAGCACGCGUGGUGUCCUGGAGCUGCUGGCUUGGUGACCACAGAAUGCCCAGCGCAUGUGCUGCAGGGCUGAGCUUCUCUCCGUCGCAGAGGCCUGCAUUUUAGUCACCCUUUCCCUGUUUGUGGCUGGUACAGUCUUUCAAAAGCAGGAGUCCUGGCUGAGAGGUGUGUGACCCUUCCUGCAAGAGGCGAAGUGCUCUUAGUACUGAUCGAAGAACUGAAAACAAAGGUGGCCUCUUUGAACGUGAUACCAAAA